rfam:Daphnia pulex DAPPTscaffold_1274_Cont12405, whole genome shotgun sequence.
GCCUCUGUGGCGCAAUUGGCUAGCGCGUUCGGAUGUUAACCGGAAGGCUGGUGGCUCGAUCCCACCCAAGGGCG